UUUUUUGAUCAAGCUUUGAUUAUGCGUGACACGGUCUCAAUUUGCGGGACGCAUGAAUUGGGCUUCAAACGCUGUGCGCAGACGCGCUACGCGGGACGGGUGGUCACCCUACUUGCGACACAAUGCACUAUAAACUUGCCUUCCUUAAACCACUAUCCUACAGUGCAACAACCGGAAGGGUCGAGCAGCGCCGUUCACGGAUGUGGAACUGCGAUUACUCCGAGAGAAGUUCGAGGAGUUUGAACAUAUAUUAACUAAAAUGGGAAACAAUGAAGCUACUAAGGAAAGACAAAAAUACUGGCAGAAAAUUACCGAUUAUAUUAAUGCCGGAAGUGGAGUAAAAAGGACUCGGGAGCAGGUGAAAAAAACAUUACGAUAUUGCUGCUAAAAUAAAGAAUGAGGUUGCUGGUACUGGAGAAGGACCACCACCAGCCAACCAAAGAGGUCGGCCAUUGAGGCCAUAGAGGAGGGGACUGCAUCUGAAUCUGUCCCACCAAAAUCCAGAAAAUGUUAUAAAAAAAUGGAAGCCACGGAUGUGGACAUCCAGUAUAAAAAUAAGAGAUAAGAAAGUUGGAGGUAGAACUUCGACAACUAAAGUAAAAUGCA